CUUGUACACACCGCCCGUCACACCAUGGGAGCGGGUUCUGCCAGAAGUAGUUAGCUUAACCGCAAGGAGGGCGAUUACCACGGCAGGGUUCGUGACUGGGGUGAAGUCGUAAACAAGGUACC
rnacentral:rRNA from 1 species